GCUUGCUUCGUUCAUCAUAAUUAUCUGAGUUGCUACGUAUUCGUAUAUCGUUCAGAUUUCGAUUUGAUUUGAUUUGAUUCGUGACAGUUGGUGUUCGUGUUUGAGAACAAGGUUGGAAUUUCAAUCCAAGAA